rnacentral:rRNA from 1 species
GCUACUACGUGGAGGAAGAAGGGCUAUGGAUUGUAAACUUCUUUACUAGUAAGUACUGCUUUCGGGCUUGCUUGCUAGCAAAAAGUCACGACUAACUAUGUGCCAGCAGUCGCGGUAAGACAUAGGUGGCAAACGUUAUCCGGAAUUACUGGGCGUAAAGAGUGCGUAGGUGGUUCAAUAAGUUACUGGUGGCAAAUCGGGGCCCAACCCCGUGGAAGUUGGUAAUACUGUUGAACUAGAGGACCGGAGAGGUUAACGGAAUUCUAUGUGUAGCGGUAAAAUGCUCAAAUAUAUAGAGGAACACCAAACGGCGAAGGCAGUUAACUAUUCGGUGCCUGACGUUGAGGCACGAAAGCGUGGGGAGCAAGACGGAUUAGAUACCCGAGUAGUCCACGCCCUAAACGAUGAGUACUAGAUAUUGGGAACUUGAUUUUCAGUGUCGCAAGAUAACUCGGUAAGUACUCCGCCUGGGUAGUACGGUCGCAAGGCUAAAACCA